GGGUUGUGAGGUUAAGCGACUAAGCGUACACGGUGGAUGCCCUGGCAGUCAGAGGCGAUGAAGGACGUGCUAAUCUGCGAUAAGCGUCGGUAAGGUGAUAUGAACCGUUAUAACCGGCGAUUUCCGAAUGGGGAAACCCAGUGUGAUUCGUCACACUAUCAUUAACUGAAUCCAUAGGUUAAUGAGGCGAACCGGGGGAACUGAAACAUCUAAGUACCCCGAGGAAAAGAAAUCAACCGAGAUUCCCCCAGUAGCGGCGAGCGAACGGGGAGCAGCCCAGAGCCUGAAUCAGUGUGYGUGUKAGUGGAAGSGYSUGGAAAGGCGCGCGAUACAGGGUGACAGCCCCGUACACAAAAAUGCACAUAUUGUGAGCUCGAUGAGUAGGGCGGGACACGUGGUAUCCUGUCUGAAUAUGGGGGGACCAUCCUCCAAGGCUAAAUACUCCUGACUGACCGAUAGUGAACCAGUACCGUGAGGGAAAGGCGAAAAGAACCCCGGCGAGGGGAGUGAAAAAGAACCUGAAACCGUGUACGUACAAGCAGUGGGAGCACAGAGCAAUCUGUGUGACUGCGUACCUUUUGUAUAAUGGGUCAGCGACUUAUAUUCUGUAGCAAGGUUAACCGAAUAGGGGAGCCGAAGGGAAACCGAGUCUUAACCGGGCGUUAAGUUGCAGGGUAUAGACCCGAAACCCGGUGAUCUAGCCAUGGGCAGGUUGAAGGUUGGGUAACACUAACUGGAGGACCGAACCGACUAAUGUUGAAAAAUUAGCGGAUGACUUGUGGCUGGGGGUGAAAGGCCAAUCAAACCGGGAGAUAGCUGGUUCUCCCCGAAAGCUAUUUAGGUAGCGCCUCGUGAAUUCAUCUCCGGGGGUAGAGCACUGUUUCGGCAAGGGGGUCAUCCCGACUUACCAACCCGAUGCAAACUGCGAAUACCGGAGAAUGUUAUCACGGGAGACACACGGCGGGUGCUAACGUCCGUCGUGAAGAGGGAAACAACCCAGACCGCCAGCUAAGGUCCCAAAGUCAUGGUUAAGUGGGAAACGAUGUGGGAAGGCCCAGACAGCCAGGAUGUUGGCUUAGAAGCAGCCAUCAUUUAAAGAAAGCGUAAUAGCUCACUGGUCGAGUCGGCCUGCGCGGAAGAUGUAACGGGGCUAAACCAUGCACCGAAGCUGCGGCAGCGACACUGUGUGUUGUUGGGUAGGGGAGCGUUCUGUAAGCCUGUGAAGGUGUGCUGUGAGGCAUGCUGGAGGUAUCAGAAGUGCGAAUGCUGACAUAAGUAACGAUAAAGCGGGUGAAAAGCCCGCUCGCCGGAAGACCAAGGGUUCCUGUCCAACGUUAAUCGGGGCAGGGUGAGUCGACCCCUAAGGCGAGGCCGAAAGGCGUAGUCGAUGGGAAACAGGUUAAUAUUCCUGUACUUGGUGUUACUGCGAAGGGGGGACGGAGAAGGCUAUGUUGGCCGGGCGACGGUUGUCCCGGUUUAAGCGUGUAGGCUGGUUUUCCAGGCAAAUCCGGAAAAUCAAGGCUGAGGCGUGAUGACGAGGCACUACGGUGCUGAAGCAACAAAUGCCCUGCUUCCAGGAAAAGCCUCUAAGCAUCAGGUAACAUCAAAUCGUACCCCAAACCGACACAGGUGGUCAGGUAGAGAAUACCAAGGCGCUUGAGAGAACUCGGGUGAAGGAACUAGGCAAAAUGGUGCCGUAACUUCGGGAGAAGGCACGCUGAUAUGUAGGUGAAGUCCCUCGCGGAUGGAGCUGAAAUCAGUCGAAGAUACCAGCUGGCUGCAACUGUUUAUUAAAAACACAGCACUGUGCAAACACGAAAGUGGACGUAUACGGUGUGACGCCUGCCCGGUGCCGGAAGGUUAAUUGAUGGGGUCAGCGCAAGCGAAGCUCUUGAUCGAAGCCCCGGUAAACGGCGGCCGUAACUAUAACGGUCCUAAGGUAGCGAAAUUCCUUGUCGGGUAAGUUCCGACCUGCACGAAUGGCGUAAUGAUGGCCAGGCUGUCUCCACCCGAGACUCAGUGAAAUUGAACUCGCUGUGAAGAUGCAGUGUACCCGCGGCAAGACGGAAAGACCCCGUGAACCUUUACUAUAGCUUGACACUGAACAUUGAGCCUUGAUGUGUAGGAUAGGUGGGAGGCUUUGAAGUGUGGACGCCAGUCUGCAUGGAGCCGACCUUGAAAUACCACCCUUUAAUGUUUGAUGUUCUAACGUGGACCCGUGAUCCGGGUUGCGGACAGUGUCUGGUGGGUAGUUUGACUGGGGCGGUCUCCUCCUAAAGAGUAACGGAGGAGCACGAAGGUUGGCUAAUCCUGGUCGGACAUCAGGAGGUUAGUGCAAUGGCAUAAGCCAGCUUGACUGCGAGCGUGACGGCGCGAGCAGGUGCGAAAGCAGGUCAUAGUGAUCCGGUGGUUCUGAAUGGAAGGGCCAUCGCUCAACGGAUAAAAGGUACUCCGGGGAUAACAGGCUGAUACCGCCCAAGAGUUCAUAUCGACGGCGGUGUUUGGCACCUCGAUGUCGGCUCAUCACAUCCUGGGGCUGAAGUAGGUCCCAAGGGUAUGGCUGUUCGCCAUUUAAAGUGGUACGCGAGCUGGGUUUAGAACGUCGUGAGACAGUUCGGUCCCUAUCUGCCGUGGGCGCUGGAGAACUGAGGGGGGCUGCUCCUAGUACGAGAGGACCGGAGUGGACGCAUCACUGGUGUUCGGGUUGUCAUGCCAAUGGCACUGCCCGGUAGCUAAAUGCGGAAGAGAUAAGUGCUGAAAGCAUCUAAGCACGAAACUUGCCCCGAGAUGAGUUCUCCCUGACCCUUUAAGGGUCCUGAAGGAACGUUGAAGACGACGACGUUGAUAGGCCGGGUGUGUAAGCGCAGCGAUGCGUUGAGCUAACCGGUACUAAUGAACCGUGAGGCUUAACCUUACAACGCCGAAGGUGUUU
rnacentral:rRNA from 1 species